rnacentral:rRNA from 1 species
UACGUAGGGGGCAAGCGUUGUUCGGAAUUACUGGGCGUAAAGGGCGCGUAGGCGGCCCAGCAAGUCGGGAGUGAAAGCCCGGGGCUCAACCCCGGAACGUCUUUCGAAACUGCUGAGCUCGAGUGCGGAAGAGGCAACUGGAAUUCCCAGUGUAGCGGUGAAAUGCGUAGAUAUUGGGAAGAACACCUGAGGCGAAGGCGGGUUGCUGGGCCGACACUGACGCUGAGGCGCGAAAGCCAGGGGAGCGAACGGG